rnacentral:rRNA from 1 species
AUGAAGUACACCUGGGACUGGAACCUGGAGGAGGACAUUAGUACUAGUAGAAUUGAGAUUGAAUGCACUUUCUUCCCCGUCUUCCACUCUUCUUCCUCCUCUCUUCUUUUUCCUCCUGUCUUCCCCGUCGUCGGCCGCACACCAUUUACCCCCGCUCACUGCUCGCCCGCCCGCGCCAUCUUCCUUGCAGACGCAAAUGCGCUGGCCUUCAUGAUUCCAGGACCUGGAAUCAUACCAGCCGAUGGUGUUGUUAGUUUGAAGCACUCCUCUGGUUUGAAGAUAGAUACCUUCCUGGGAUCAAUACCAUAUAACUGGAAUUACCGAUGCAAGUCGAAGAAGGAUUGGCCGGUGCUGCCGGCUAGCAUCAAGUUCGAUCCCACGGAUCAGGAGCUGAUCGAGCACCUUGAGGCCAAAGUGAGUGCUGACAGCGCGAGAUUUCAGUCUCUCAUCGAUUUGUUCAUACCAACCAUCGACAGCGAGCACGGCAUAUGCUACACCCAACCUGAGAAACUUCCAGGUAUCACACUGAGUGGCCUAAGGAAGCAUUUCUUCCAGCGCAAUUCCAGGGCAUUCAAAAGGGGCACGUGGACGCGUCGCAAGAUACAGUCGGAGCGCGGCAUGCACGCGAUGUGUUACAAGACCGGAAAUACCUUGCCGGUGAUGGUCAACGGCCGGCAAGACGGGCAGCAAAAAAGUCUGGUGCUGCACACCAACAAGAACUUCGACCAGCAGAGGACCAACUGGGUGAUGCACCAGUACCACCUCGGGGACCUGGAGCAAGAGAAGGAGCGGGAGCUGGUCCUCUGCAAGAUUUUCUACCAGACGAACACUAGGGCCAGGAGUAAAAAGAUUAUAAGUUAG